rnacentral:tRNA from 1 species
AGGGAUGUAGUGUAACGGUAGCACUUCGGACUUUGACUCCGACAGCCUAGGUUCGAAACCUAGCGUCCCUGCCA